rnacentral:rRNA from 1 species
CCUACGGGUGGCAGCAGUCGAGAAUCAUUCACAAUGGGGGAAACCCUGAUGGUGCGACGCCGCGUGGGGGAAUGAAGGUCUUCGGAUUGUAAACCCCUGUCAUGUGGGAGCAAAUUAAAAAGAUAGUACCACAAGAGGAAGAGACGGCUAACUCUGUGCCAGCAGCCCCGGUCAUACAGAGGUCUCAAGCGUUGUUCGGAAUCACUGGGCGUAAAGCGUGCGUAGGCUGUUUCGUAAGUCGUGUGUGAAAGGCGCGGGCUCAACCCGCGGACGGAACAUGAUACUGCGAGACUAGAGUAAUGGAGGGGGAACCGGAAUUCUCGGUGUAGCAGUGAAAUGCGUAGAUAUCGAGAGGAACACUCGUGGCGAAGGCGGGUUCCUGGACAUUAACUGACGCUGAGGCACGAAGGCCAGGGGAGCGAAAGGGAUUAGAUACCCGAGUAGUC